rnacentral:rRNA from 1 species
GACGAACGCUGGCGGCGUGCUUAACACAUGCAAGUCGAACGGAAAGGCACUGCUUGCUGGGUCCUCGAGUGGCGAACGGGUGAGUAACACAUGGGUGAUUUGCCCUGCACUUCGGGGUACGCCUGGAAAACUGGGUCUAUUACCGGAUAGGAGACAUUUUUAGUGUGAGGGUUGGAAAGUUUUUUCGGUGUAGGAUGAGCUGGCGGCCUAUUGGCGUGUUGGUGGGGUAAUGGCCUACCAAGGCGGCGAGGGGUAGCUGGCCAGAGAGGGUGGACGGCCGCAUUGGGUCCUAGAGACGGCCGCAGCGCCGAAUGGUGGAAGAAGGGGGGAAGACUGAUCCAGGGGUGCCGGGCGGAUGCAGAAGGGCUGCGGGUGGGAUAGCGGUUUUCGGGUGGAAAAAUCGCAUCGCUAUAAACCAAGCCUGUUGUGACGGUACCUAGAGAAGAAGCACCGGCUAACUACGUG